rnacentral:sRNA from 1 species
UCCAAGCUUUCAUGGUGUAGCCAAAGUCCGUAUGAGUCUUUGGCUUUGUAUCUUCUAACAAGGAAACACUACUUAGGCUUUUAAGAUCGGGUUGCGGUUUAAGUUCUUAUACUCAAUCAUACACAUGACAUAAAGUCAUAUUCGACUCCAAAACACUAACCAAGCUUCUUCUAGCUUCUCAAAGCUUUCAUGGUGUAGCCAAAGUCCGUAUGAGUCUUUGGCUUUGUAUCUUCUAACAAGGAAACACUACUUAGGCUUUUAAGAUCGAGUUGCGGUUUAAGUUCUUAUACUCAAUCAUACACAUUACAUCAAGUCAUAUUUGACUCCAAAACACUAACUAAGCCUCUUCUAGCUUCUCCAAGCUUUCAUGGUUUAGCCAAAUUCUGUAUGAGUUUUUGGCAUUGUAUCUUCUAACAAGGAAACACUACGUAGGCUUUUAAGAUUGGGUUGCGGUUUAAGUUCUUAUACUUAAUCAUACACAUGACAUAUAGUCAUAUUUGACUCCAAAACACUAACCAAGCUUCUUCUAGCUUCUCAAAGCUUUCAUUGUGUAGCCAAAGUCCGUAUGAGUCUUUGGCUUUGUAUCUUCUAACAAGGAAACACUACUAAGGCUUUUAAGAUCGGGUUGCGAUUUAAGUUUUUAUACUCAAUCAUACACAUGACAUCAAGUCAUAUUCGACUCCAAAACACUAACCAACCUUCUUCUUGCUUCUCAAAGCUUUCAUGGUGUAGCCAAAGUCCGUAUGAGUCUUUGGCUUUGUGUCUUCUAACAAGGAUACAAUUCUUACCGCUUUAAGAUACC